rnacentral:rRNA from 1 species
GUCUACGGCCAUGCCACCCUGAACGCGCCGGAUCUCAUCUGAUCUCAGAAGCUAAGCCGGGUCGGGCUUGGUUAGUACUUGGAUGGGAGACCACCGAGGAAGACCGGGUGCUGUAGGUG